rnacentral:rRNA from 1 species
UACGUAGGGGGCAAGCGUUGUCCGGAUUUAUUGGGCGUAAAGAGCGUGUAGGCGGCCUGGCAAGUCCGCUGUGAAAACUCGAGGCUUAACCUCGAGACGUCGGUGGAAACUGCCUGGCUAGAGUCCGGAAGAGGAGAGUGGAAUUCCUGGUGUAGCGGUGAAAUGCGCAGAUAUCAGGAAGAACACCCGUGGCUAAGGCGGCUCUCUAGUACGGUACUGACGCUGAGACGCGAAAAGCGUGGGGAGCGAACAGG